rnacentral:rRNA from 1 species
GAUGAACGCUAGCGAUAGGCUUAACACAUGCAAGUCGAGGGGCAGCAUGGUCUUAGCUUGCUAAGGCUGAUGGCGACCGGCGCACGGGUGCGUAACGCGUAUGCAACUUGCCUCACAGAGGGGGAUAACCCGUCGAAAGACGGACUAAUACCGCGUACACUCUAUGUUGGGCAUCCAAUGUAGAGGAAAUGAAAUUCGCUGUGAGAUAGGCAUGCGUCCCAUUAGCUAGUUGGUGAGGUAACGGCUCACCAAGGCGACGAUGGGUAGGGGAACUGAGAGGUUGACCCCCCACACUGGUACUGAGACACGGACCAGACUCCUACGGGAGGCAGCAGUGAGGAAUAUUGGGCGAUGGGCGAGAGCCUGAACCAGCCAAGUCGCGUGAAGGAUGACUGGGUUAGGGAUGGUAAACUUCUUUUAUACGGGAAUAGCAAGAGUCACGUGUGGCUCCCUGCAUGUACCGUAUGAAUAAGCAUCGGCUAACUCCGUG